rnacentral:lncRNA from 1 species
AAAAGACCGUUUCAUGCUUGAUAUGAUAGAGAUUAAUCUCUUCAACUAAAAUAGACGAAAUACUAAAAAUAAUUCAACUUCAAUAAAUGAAAUUCUCCCUUGUGUGUGCACUACUGUAACUAUCAAGGAUGGAAUCUGUCACGACCCAAUUUAGGAUUGUGACCGGCGCUUAGGAGAAGUGCUCCCAAGUAAGCCUCAUCAGUAAUUUUACAGAAAACCGGGUAGAGUUUCCCCUGUUUUUGGACCAUCCCAAAAAAAUUUCAUGUCUCAAAUCAACAACCAAACAUCCUAAUAUCAUACCAAACAAUUGACAACUUGUCAAUUAACCAAUACAUGUCUCCACCAUAACUAAAUCACCAACUAACCACUAGAAAUACUAAUUUAUCUCCAACUUGAUAAAUGAGAACAAUACUCAACAUAAGACUAUAAUAACAAAAAAAUACUCAUGACACUAAAAUACUGACUAUGGAGCAACUCUAAGAGUUCAAUGGAAAGACCAUAACAAUAAAUAAAAUCUCUGCCCACGCGAACAAGUGCGAGGCUCACCAAGAAUUCUCAACCUGUGCGCUCUAAUUAACGAGAUCCUCGCCCGAGUCAGCUGUUGUCUCUGUAAAAAAAAUUAGCGGGGAAUGAGUCGCUAGCUCAGUGAGUAAUAACACUUAACCAUAAUCGUUUUUAUUUGGGAACAAGUCAGAAAAUAUGCUAGUAUCUCAAAUAGAAAAUGACAUAAAAAUGCCCUUUCAGAAAUAAUAAAUAAUUUUCAGUCUCAUCAUACUUUUCUUGUAAUAUAAUACAAUUAACAGUUCAGUAAUAAGCUCAGUAACCACUGCAUAAUAUCAAUAUUCACAUUUUUGGGAGGUUUCAAUGAACGGAUCAUGUAUUUGGUAUAACUGUGGACUUCUUUGCAAGAAGUCAUAUAUAACGGUAGUCCCUACUCGAGGGAAAUCGGUAACGGUAUGCUAGUUCUACCUUCCCAUUAGCGAGGGCUAUAACUGUACUCUGUAAUCGGUAAAUACAAGGUGCACCAGGUCUAACGAACCCGCCGUUAGCUACGGGAUCCUUCAAUGUCUACUCUCAUUUAUACUUGUCUCUGUAAUCCGCAUAUACUCGUAGAAAAUAAUUUAAAACAAUAUAGGGCAUUUAGGUAUUUAUCAAAUUAUGUAAUUUUCUUUCGAUAACAGUAAAUUCAAGAAACGGUCAAACAGAUCUAGUGACAUAAAAAUAUUUAAAACCACGGUAUUUAUCUCAAAUAACUAUUUCGGUAUCAUAUCGAGUAAAAGACUUGUCCCACAUGCAACUCAAAAUAAUCGGUAACAUAUUCAUAUUAAAAAUUAUGUGUAAAUCAUGCAAGUUAUGAAAACACAAAUUGUGGUAAGAUUACUACUCACAGUACUCGUGCCGAAAUACCAAAUGCUUCACCUCGAGCAAUUCGUACAAAUUCCUCCAAUCAAUCUAUAAUUACAUAAUAUCAAUCUCAUGUUAAUUUCCUUAUUUAGGCUAAUUCAAAGCUAAUUUAGAAUACCCAAUCAUCGGGGUUCAUGUUUCGAUCUUAAUUUGUGGAUUUAUAUUUACCCACAUAUGAGUAAUUACUAAUUUAUCAACUCCAACCUAUUCAUAUAAUUUAUUACUCCAAAUUUCAUAAAGUUCUAUUGGUUCUUUAGGAAGAAAAUUCUCAAUUGUGUGAAUGAACUAGUGUAAUUUCUAUUACUCUGUAGAAUCUUCCAAUCAAGAGAAUCGAAAUUAAAAUCUACCAGAAGAAAAAGUUCAAGUAAUACCCGUAAGAGACAAUUUGUGCUUAAGAUUCCUCAACAGUUAUAACUAUGGCUCCAAUACACUGCACCCACUUCUUCCUCCUUCUUUUCUCUUUUCCUUCUUUCUUCCUCUGCUCUUUUUUCUUUUCGUUUUUUCGCUGUUUCAAAGCUUUCUGCUUCGUUUCGAAGUUAAUAAAGCUUUCUGCUUUGUGUUGUUAACCCUUUUCAAAGCCUUUGUUGGCAGGUAAGGAUAAUGGGC